GACGAAGGUGGCGAGCGUUGUUCGGAAUCACUGGGCAUAAAGCGCACGUAGGCGGCUAGGUAAGUCGGAUGUGAAAUACCUCGGCUCAACCGAGGAACUGCGUCCGAUACUGCCUGGCUUGAGGUCCGGAGGGGAGAGUGGAAUUCCCGGUGGAGCGGUGAAAUGCGUAGAGAUCGGGAAGAACGCCGGCGGCGAAAGCGACUCGUCUGGUCGGAAUCUGACGCUGAGGUGCGGAAAGCUAG
rnacentral:rRNA from 1 species